GACGAACGCUGGCGGCGUGCUUAACACAUGCAAGUCGAACGGAAAGGCCCUGCUUUUGUGGGGUGCUCGAGUGGCGAACGGGUGAGUAACACGUGAGUAGCCUGCCCUUGACUUUGGGAUAACUUCAGGAAACUGGGGCUAAUACAGGAUAGGAGCUCCUGCUGCAUGGUGGGGGUUGGAAAGUUUCGGCGGUUGGGGAUGGACUCGCGGCUUAUCAGCUUGUUGGUGGGGUAGUGGCUUACCAAGGCUUUGACGGGUAGCCGGCCUGAGAGGGUGACCGGCCACAUUGGGACUGAGAUACGGCCCAGACUCCUACGGGAGGCAGCAGUGGGGAAUAUUGCACAAUGGGCGGAAGCCUGAUGCAGCAACGCCGCGUGCGGGAUGACGGCCUUCGGGUUGUAAACCGCUUUCGCCUGUGACGAAGCGUGAGUGACGGUAAUGGGUAAAGAAGCACCGGCUAACUACGUG
rnacentral:rRNA from 1 species